rnacentral:rRNA from 1 species
UACGAAGGGGGCUAGCGUUGCUCGGAAUGACUGGGCGUAAAGGGCGCGUAGGCGGUGGACACAGUCAGGCGUGAAAUUCCUGGGCUCAACCUGGGGGCUGCGUUUGAUACGUGUUUGCUAGAGUGGGGAAGAGGGUCGUGGAAUUCCCAGUGUAGAGGUGAAAUUCGUAGAUAUUGGGAAGAACACCGGUGGCGAAGGCGGCGACCUGGAGCUUUGCUGACGCUGAGGCGCGAAAGCGUGGGGAGCGAUCCGG